rnacentral:pre_miRNA from 1 species
UAUAAGUUCAGUUUUGCACUAUUCACGUUCAACGUUUGAUCGUUCGUCUUAUUUGAAAAUUUUUUAUGAUUAGUAUUUUUAUUGUUAUUAGAUGAUAAAACAUGAAUAGUACUUUAUGUGUGACUAAAUUUUUUUUAUUUUUUUCACAAAUUUUUCAAAUAAGACGAACGGUCAAACGUUGGACAUGGAUAUCUACGGCUGCACUUAUU